ensembl:lncRNA
AGAGAAAGAGAGAGAGAGAGAGAGAGAGAGAGAGAGAGAGAGAGAGAGAGAGAGAGAGAGAGAGAGAGAGGAGGAGAGAGAGAGAGAGAGAGAGAGAGAGAGAGCGAGCGCGCGCGCUAUGUUUUCCGUCCACGUACCGCGUUUCUCGCGUUCGUAAGAUCAAAACAGCAUCCACAGUAUAAAAUGCAAUAACAGCAUCUCGUGCCAUACACGCGCUCCGGUAUGCGACGCAAAAGCAUUUGCAUUAAAAUAGAAGAAGAAGAAGAAGAAGAAAGAACAGACCCCAAACUUGCAUUAAGUAGCUUUUUGUGCUCGUGCAUGUAAUUACGACAAGCAAAAAUGUUCGUGCACGAGAUAGGGGACGGGAAGCUGCACGAGAAUUUAUUUAUUUAUUUUUUUUUUCAUACGCCAAAAAGAAAGUAAGAAAGAAAGAAAGAAAGAAAAUCUAGCUACACUAAUGCAUUAGUGCAAAUGCAUUAACAUUCUAGUCGGUACACUCAGCAUGUCAUGCACGCUAUCGUUAUUUAUUUAUUUAUUUAUUUAUGUAUUUAUUUAUUUAGAAAUCUUCUCUCUCACUCCUUCCUCUCGCGCGCGUUUCUCCACGAGCAUUGCAAACUCGUUUGCAUCGACGUGUGUAACACUAGAGUGAUUUGCACGUGCGACACCUUUCAAAAGACAUUUCCAGGCUGCACCCGAUAGCACGUGCAGUACUUACGGCCGUGCAUUCGUGCGUGUAGAACAUGCUAGACGCGUGUGCACUCGCACGCACAUCACACAUUAUCAGCACAAUACUGUAGCACAAGUAGCGAAAUCCUACAUAUUGCACAGCUCAGCUCUUGCACAUUAUAGAUCGUGCAUGCGCGUCCCCGAUGAUGACCGGCGGGGGGCGCUGUCGCACUUUUUGCCUCCGAUGUCACAUUUGACUUUGAAGGCUCAGUAAUUGAGUGAUUAUGAUGGAUGCGUCCCAAAAAAUACAAAUGGCCGAGUGCGAUUCUGGUAAGGGCCUGCGCCAGAGAGAGAGAGAGAGAGAGAGAGAGAGAGACAGACAGACAGACAGACAGACAGGGGGUAUUAUUAUUAUUAUUUAUUCAUGGUCAUAAAUGUAAAUUACGGAUGAAUCUUUGAAAUGAUUGCACAAGGUUUUCCGUUUGUUGUUGCUGAUUGUUACCACCGCUGAUCCGGCAUCUCGAGUCCAGCACAGGUUGAAAAGGUUAAUUAUCAGUGAUGUGGGCUGAAAUUGGAGGACAUUUUGACUUAAUUUGUGUUUCACACCCGGCGUUUCAGCUUUACAGUCAUGCUGAGUGCUGGGAGAAAAUGCCAGUCUUGGCUUUAGGCGAACACCUGCCUCUCUGUGUCUCGAGUCCAUACAAACGACCCCUGAAAAAAAAGUGAGAGAAAGACAAAGUGUGUGUGUGUGUGUGUGUGUGUGUGUGUGCGUGUGUGUGGGACGGCUUAAUGUUCUCUGGCUAGCCAUGCUGCAUCUGAGUGACGGAUUGACUGCUACCUGCUGUUGCCACAAACCUGCAUGAAGAAGUGGGUCCAUUUGGAGGUAACGGCCCGGAGAACACCAUCUUCUCCGAGGUUCAUCUCUCGGCGCCAGGCCUGGUCCUGAAUAUCAACAAGCAGCCUGCUUUGGCAGAGCGAAUAAUAAGCACUGUCUUGCAUUGGCAGGAGGCAGCGGGUUUGUGAAAGGGAUUGUGGCUGCAGCUGGAGGACUUGGCGUCCCGUGGAAAUGGCGCCUUCGUGUGUCCUGUGUGGCUCGCCUGUUUGCGCCGGGGUUUAUGGUGGAGGUUUUUUUUUUUUUUUUUUCUUUUCUAUAAACGUGCAUGGCAGAUUAAUGAGUGCGGCUGUCGUGAAUGUCGGCGUUCCAGCUGAUCUGUUCCAAUGAGCUCCUAAAUGGAAGGUGAUUGGUGAGCAUCAUUAGGGGGCUUGGCGCAGAGCUUAAGGCGUUCAUGUGAUGUAAUGGUAAAUGAGGGAGGAAUGUACGGGUUCCGAGUGUGGGAGGAGAUCUGUCGUAGGUACGUCGUGCAUCUUGUACGAGUCCACUAUGUCUGUUCGUUAUUAGAACCACUUUCCCAUUAUUCCAUAUUUUGGCAGAACUGAAGAAGGUGAUCCUAAAAAUUCCCAUGAAAUGGAAAAACAAAAAAAAAAUCAAACCUGCUACUCCAGGUGAGUAUCCUAAUCCAUAAAGGUAAAUACUGCCCCAUUCCUAGUUUCAUCCUUUAAUGCCUUUGAGCCACUUUUCUACGUUGACAUAUCUUCAUCCAACCAAAAAUCCCCCCUUCUCCCGCAUAGAGUCACAUAUAUUUCACGUUCUUUUGAUCGCCCCAAGACCUCAAGCAGAUAGUCUUACACAUCCCCGGUCUGCAGUCUCAUAACUCUGCUUAGCAUGUCAAAAAACUCAAGCCUUGGGAUUUAUUCAAUACUCCAGGAAGCCCGGGAGGUAACACAGAAGUGAGCCGAAUGCUAUUUUUACUUAGUGUCCCAUCCUCUCUCUCCGAUUCUGAAGACUGCAAUUCGAGAUUCGCACGAGUCAGCAGGAAAGACAAAAAAGAGGAAAAGAAAAAAAAAAGUCUUCCUGCCGAACCGAGGAGCCGGGAUGGAUGUCGCGGGAUCAAAUGGUAAAUGAAUCAUCCUGAACGCUUGCAAAAUUAAUUAAGACAACUGAAUCAAUCCUCCAUGAGCUAAACAUGACGCAGCCUUCCUCGGGGAGGUUUUGCAGGGGCUGAAAACACCGACAUGACGAUGGCAGCUGAGGAGCAGGAAAUUAUUAGUGAAAAGAUGCUAAAAGCUCACGCAGGGCUUAAGAGCAGAUCAUUGCCGAGGGAUUUAUGUUGUGGUUAAGGCACUUAGGCACUUAAUGGGAUGUGGUGAUGAGGUACGGGGUUUUAUGAAUUGACCCAAUAGAUGCGUAGACACACACGGUACGUCUUUUGGGGUUUUUUUAUUUUUAUUUUUAUUUCGUUUAGACGCGCUAUGGUACCUGCGAAUUAAUAGCGCUCCUUUAAAUGCUUCUUUGCUGAGACGUAUCAGAACUUUUAAACUUCGCCACUCUAUUGACUGCCGGUUUUGAAUGCUGAGAAGAAGACAGGACGAACGAGAGAGAGAGAGAGAGAGAGAGGUGAUAUAACUGGACAAAAGCAAUUACUGAAGUAAUAAACAAUACAAUUUAGCGGUAGCCAUCGCGGACAAGAUCACGUUGUGGUUCGAGUGGCCUCGGGAAAUGGAAGGCAAUUAAAAAUAUUAAUGAAAAGCCGCCAUUAAGUCUUAGCGGCCGUGGCGUUUAUUAUUUUUGAUCUUUGCUCGUUUUGUUCUCGGAUAAUCCGUCCCAUAUUUGAAUUCUUUCCGGAAUGAGUCAGACUGGAGGCUUCUCUGGUCUGGUGCAGUUCGUUUCCGGCGUUAUGCAAAAACACUUCCAUGCGAAUGAACCGAUAGUUUGUUUGAGAAACGCCUCUGAGAAUGGCAUUCGAUUAAGCGGUGGAUCAAAUACAUUUUCCAUGAGGCACUAACACGUUCGUCGUUAUGACGAUGAGUCCUGAUGAGAUGAUUUGACUCUGUGGCACAUCGGCGUCCGAAUGAAAGCAACAAAAAUAAACUUGUAUAACUGGCACCAAGCUUUUGGCAUUUCUCAAGCAAGAUUUGCUAAUCUGACUUCCCGCAGAUCAUCGGUCCUCGUUUCAGCCGUUUCCCCAGCCUUCAUCUCUGCACCUGAUCCCACGUUGACCUUCAAGCUUAGGGAGAUAAGGCUACUGACUCAGAGCUCCCAAAGCUCACUGAGCACGCUCCCCUGACAGCCAAUCAGACCAACAACUUUGUGUAAGUGCGGGGGAAAAAAAAAAGCUGUGGAAGAAAAUAGUUUUGAUUACAAUGCACUUGGCAGUGGCGGACGGAUGCAGGUCUACAGAGACGCAGACGAGUGUUACUGAAUACUUGGCCACCGUUCUGUCUGAUAUCCAUAAAUUAUUAACUGCUGUGGUCAUUUGCAGUGAUUAACCUCAAUAAUUCAUCUAGUUGUGUAAUUGAAAGAAUCGAAAGGCUUGAAUGAAAGCCUUCCAGGGGAUCACAGACCCAUAUUUGUUUCGUGUUUUUUAAAAACACCGAUGACAAAUUGGAGGAACCGGUCCCCCUGAUCGAUGGUACAAUGGCCCACCAGCUGGUCCGCCACCGUACGAGGGUGCUAGGAUUAUUAAUAAACAAAGGCAAC